UACGUAGGGACCAAGCGUUGUUCGGAUUUACUGGGCGUAAAGGGCGCGUAGGCGGUAGCACAAGUCAGUUGUGAAAUCUCCGGGCUUAACUCGGAAAGGUCAACUGAUACUGUGCGACUAGAGUGCAGAAGGGGCAACUGGAAUUCUCGGUGUAGCGGUGAAAUGCGUAGAUAUCGAGAGGAACACCUGCGGCGAAGGCGGGUUGCUGGGCUGACACUGACGCUGAGGCGCGAAAGCCAGGGGAGCGAACGGG
rnacentral:rRNA from 1 species